ensembl:lncRNA
AGAAGAGUGAAAGGAAAGAAGAAAGGAAAGAAGAGUAAAAGAAGGAAAGAAGAGUGGGAGAAGGAAAGAAGAAAGGAAAGAAGAGUGAAGAAAAAAAAGAAGAGUGGAAGAGAAAAGAAGAAAAGAAAGAAGUGUGAAAGAAGGAAAGAAGAGUGGAAGAAAAGAAAGAAGAGUGAAGAAAGGAAAGAAGAGUGGAAAAAGGAAAGAAGAAAAGAAAGAAGAUUGAAAGAAGGAAAGAAGAAAGGAAAGAAGAGUGGAAGAAGGAAAGAAGAAAAGAAAGAAGAGUGAAAGAAAGGAAAGAAGAGUGGAAGAAGGAAAGAAGAGUGGAAGAAGAAAAGAAAGAAGAAAAUGGAGUGAAGCAGAGAGAUGGAGUGUGAGAGAAAGUAGAACUAGAAAAUGCAUUUCCUGAAGGAAAUACCAGUGCAUGAAAUGCAAAAGUUAAGAAAGGAAGAAGAAAAGAAAGAAGAGUGAAAGAAGAAAGGAAAGAAGAGUAAAAGAAGGAAAGAAGAAAGGAAAGAAGAGUGAAGAAAGGAAAGGAGAGUGGAAGAAGGAAAGAAGAGUGGAAGAAGGAAAGAAUGAAGGAAAGAAGAGUGAAGAAAGGAAAGAAGAAAAGAAAGAAGAGUGAAAGAAGGAAAGAAGAAAGGAAAGAAGAGUGAAGAAAGGAAAGAAGAGUGGAAGAAGGAAAGAAAGAAGAAAGGAAAGAAGAGUGGAAGAAGGAAAGAAGAGUGAAGAAAGAAAAGAAGAGUAGAAGAAGGAAAGAAGAAAGGAAAGGAGAGUGGAAGAAGGAAAGAAGAAAGGAAAGAAGAGUGGAAGAAGGAAAGAAGAAAGGAAAGAAGAGUGAAGAAAGGAAAGAAGAGUGGAAGAAGGAAAGAAGAGUGGAAGAAGGAAAGAAUAAAGAAAAGAAGAGUGAAGAAAGGAAAGAAGAAAAGAAAGAAGAGUGAAAGAAGGAAAGAAGAAAGGAAAGAAGAGUGGAAGAAGGAAAGAAGAGUGAAGAAAGAAAAGAAGAGUGGAAGAAGGAAAGAAGAAAGAAAAGAAGAGUGGAAGAAGGAAAGAAUAAAGAAAAGAAGAGUGAAGAAAGGAAAGAAGAAAAGAAAGAAGAGUGAAAGAAGGAAAGAAGAAAGGAAAGAAGAGUGAAGAAAGGAAAGAAGAGUGGAAGAAGAAAAGAAAGAAGGAAAGAAGAAAGGAAAGAAGAGUAAAAGAAGGAAAGAAGAGUGGAAGAAGGAUAGAAGAGUGGAAGAAGGAAAGAAGAGUGAAGAAAGAAAAGAGGAGUAGAAGAAGGAAAGAAGAGUGGAAGAAGGAAAGAAGAAAGGAAAGGAGAGUGGAAGAAGGAAAGAAGAGUGGAAGAAGGAAAGAAGAAGAGUGGAAGAAGGAAAGAAUAAUAUUCCUAGUUAUACAGUUGAAUGGAGAGGGACAGAGAGAAGAGGAGCCUUGGAACCUUGGCGCAGGUGUCAGUGAAGCACAGGUGCAAGCCAGUUUAAUGACCCUAUUAUGAUGUCAUAAUGGCCCAAUGUAAGUCAAUGGGAAAAUUUGUAUUAGUUUUUCUUUAAUAUCUUAAAAAGUUUAACGUUUAGACAAAUGAAAAAUACAUAGCAUAAGUGUCCUUUACAAGACCUACACGCCAAAGUUUGAACGGAGUUUCUAAGUUAAGCGGUUCGAGCUGAAUUAAGCGCAGAAGUCGGUAAAAAGAAUAACUAGAAAAUGCAUUUCCUGAAGGAAAUACCAGUGCAUGAAAUGCAAAAGUUAAGAAAGGAAGAAGAAAAGAAAGAAGA